rnacentral:lncRNA from 1 species
AAUUAAUCUUGUUAGAACUUUUUAUUUGCAGCUCAAAAUUGAUGCUGAAGUCUGAAUUCUCAAAAUGCUGAACAGAAAACCGGAUACCUGUAGAGAAAUUUGCGCCAGCCACCAUGGGGUUCCCAAGAUCACAAACCACCAUUCUAGUUUCAUUUUCCAUCUUGUAAUCACAGCUCAACACACGCAGUGCCUUGUUGUUGCGUUCAACCCCAGUGUAAUCUGCUUCAGGUGGAAUCUUUAUAUGCAGCUCAGCUUCAUAGGCUCCUUCCCCAUCAUUCCUUGGAUUUAUUAUGAGCAUGACACAGUUUUCUUCUCCAAUUAUUAGCUGAUCUUUAUCUCUAUGCAGAACAUAUGACUUGUCAGAAGUUAAAACAUACACAAUUGUGAUUUACAGCAGAAAGCCAAUUUGCUCUCAUAGUAUCUCUUCUGGAAAAUAUUCUGUGAAUACAGAGUAAAACUUGUUCAUAAAAAGUGACCCCUUUGAAAAGUAUGCAAGCACCUGGGAGUGAAAGAGUUCAAGGGAAAACACCCACCAUGGACAAACAGAGUAGACUACUGGAGAGCUUGGAAGUUAGUUGUACACAAUUUCAGAGCCGGACUACUUUCUAACUAGAGACAAGUAUUGAGUGGAAGAAACUAUUUGCUACUAGGUCCC